CUUACAUUCAUUUCAUAGAAUCAUUUACUUUAUUAGCUUAUACAUGCCAUUAAUCUCCAAAAUAAAGUUUCUUUAUAUACUGAAGUCCUGAGGUUGAUAGUGUGAUGUGUCUCCGACCAAAUCCAAUCUUCGAGCUCUUAACACUACAAAAUAGAGGAAAAGGGAACGGGGUAAGCACUUUGUGCUUAGUAAGCUCAUGUAACAAGAAUUAUACUUACCUAAUAUUUUCAAUACAAUACAAUAAACAUUCCUAUAUCCAUUCAAUGCAUUAUUACCCUAAUAUGCACAAACUCAACAUUCAAGUUAGUACAAUAAUUUCCAUGUACCAAUAAUAUAUACCAUGAUUGAUGUACUCAUCAAUACCAUGAUUUUCAUUCCUUUAUUAUUUUCGAUAUUUAUCCCAUUGAAUUUAUCAGAAUUUCGAUGGAUUUUCAGAGGUACACUUUUAGUGUACAAUUCCGGGUCCGUCAAUUCAUAUUCAUGUACGCACAUUUCCAUUUCAGAGAGCACACUCCCGCGAACCUCAACCUUGCAGCAGGAUUACCAGUCCAGGCUAAAUCCCCUGCAAUAUAAACUCAUAGAGUAUUGUCGGGAUUACUAGUCCAGGCUAAAUCCCUUGCAACGACAAUUACUCUAAUGAGCUUGGAUCUGAAUUACCAGUCCAGGCUAAAUUCAGACCCUAAUUCAGAUUACUCAUCCGGGCUAAAUCCAUUUUACACAUAUUCUUCGGGAGGGCUAUAUCAGGAUAGGAUCACCCGUCCGGGCUAGAUCCUUUUUACCGUCAAUUCUUUUUCAGAGAUCCAUCGAAUUUUCCUUUCAUUCAACCGGGAUUCUUCCCAUUUUAUCAAAUAUAUCAAUGUUUCAUCAAUUUUCAUAUAAUGAACAUUCAAAUCAUAUUCAUAUCAAAAACAUGCAUUUCAAGCAUUUAAGAAUAUAAUUCAAGUUACAUGAACUUACCUUGAUACUUGUUUGUAAACAAAAAAUCUACUAAUCCCGAACUUUUUCCUUUCAUCGAUCUAGCUUCGUAUUUGAAUCUUUUGGAUCUAAAUAAAUAAAUUUAAUUAUCAAUUUAAUACAUUUCAUGUUCAUAUGCAACAUUCUCUAUAAUUCAACUAUUAUUUAUAGUUUAUUCAAAGCUGUCUACUUGAGUCAUAGUCACUAAAUUAUUUUUAUCUUGAGCUACAGAACUCCAAAUUAGGAUACAAUAAUUUUCUUUGAAACUAUACUCACAUAUCUUCUUACUAUAAAAUUUUCAGAAUUUUUGGUUUAGCCAAUAAGUACAUUUUAUUCUUUAAAUUCACCCCUCUUAUGCUGUCCAACAGUUCUGACCCUUCUUCACUAAAAAUUAAUUAUCUCUUCAUACAGAAUUUGGAUGAUGUUACCAUUUAUUUAUCUUGAAAAUAGACUCAUUCAGGAUUUUAUACAUAUAAAUUUAAGCCCAUAAUUAUUUUUAUUCAAUUUUUUAUGAUUUUUCAAAGUAAAAACAGAGGAAUCCGAAUUCAUUCUGACCUUAUCUCACAAAAUUUAUUAUAUCUCAAAAUUUACAAAUCCAUUGCUUACACCGUUUAUUCUAUGAGAAACUAGACUCAAUAAGAUUUAAUUCCAUAUUUUGUUCAUCUUCUAAUUUGAUUCAUACAAUUUAUGGUUAUUUUUCAAAGUUAGUCUACUGCUACUGUCCAAUAUUGUUAGUGCAAGCUGUUUAUUACCAUUUUUCCCCUAAGCUUUUAAUAAAUAACAAUUUCGUCCCUACUCAAUUAGCCUCUCAAUUGAGAUGAUUUUUCUCAAUUAACACUUUAUUCUAUCACCUUAAACUAGUUUACAACCCUUAUGAAUCAUAAUUUCAGCAAUAGGCUUUAAUUCCAAACAUUUUCACAAUUAGGUCCUAAAAAUCAAUUUCUAUUGAAAUUGCCUAAUAAAAUCAUAUCAUAAACAAAUUAAAGCUUUAAUUUCAUUCUAUUUCAUCAUAAACUUACAAAAAUCAAUCAUUGUGACUUUCAAUUUCAUCCAUGAAAUCAAAAUCUAAUGAAUUUAAUAGUAGGACCUAGUUGCAAAAGUCAUAGAAACACAAAAAUUACAAGAAAAAGGCAAGGAUUAACUCACUUGGUGCAAAAAUUAUGAAAUACCAGCUUAGAGAACCCUCCUAUGGCAUUUUUAGCUGCUGGAAUUGAAGAGAAAUCUAGAUAUUUCCUAUUUAGUCCUAGCCUUAUUUAGUUAAUUUUACAAUAUUCCAAUUUUACCCUUAAUUUAUCAAUUUUCUGAUUUCAUACCCUUGCCGUCCAGCCCAAAUAAAUUUUGGGUCUAAUUUCCUUUUAAAUCCUUUCUCAUUAGACUCUUAAGCUAUUUAAUCAUUCGAGCAACUUUUACACCUAUUACAAUUUAGUCCUUUUCAUUUAAUUGACUACCCAAACAUUAAAAUUUCCUAACGAAAUUUUAAUACCACAGUAAUAACAUUUUAUAAAUAUUUAUAAAAUUAUUUUCAACUCAAUUUUACGAGAUAGAAGUCUCGAUACCUUAUUUUUACCCAAUUUCUUCAAUAAUUUCUUUUUCUAACUAACCACUAAAUCGGUAAAAUUUUUCUAUCAAUAUUUUCAUACGAUUUUCCUAUCAUAUCAAUUUUCAUGAAAAAAUAUUGAAAUAAAUUUCUCUUUAAAUCGGAUUUGUGGUUACGAAACCACUAUUUCGAUAACUUUGAAUUUAAGCCAUUACAAUAUACACGAAUAUUCAGGGAUCAAAACUGAAAAUAUUCUAGGUCCUGAAACACUGUGUUUAGGUGCGGACUGAAUUGCAAAGACACGAAAAUUCUAGGAGAAAUUUGAAAUAAAAUAAAAUGUAAAUACAGAUAAAUUAAAAGCCUGCGCAAAGGCGAAGGAUCAGUCGCGCAAUUUGACCAUUCAAAAUACAAAAGUGUGGAUCCAUACAGCACCAUUUCACUUUGCACUCAAAAUUAAAGGGAAAAAAAAAGAAUGGCAAUUGCCAUUUUCACAAACAACAACUCAAAUCCCUAAUGUUAGGGCUUCAAUUUGGGGUCAUCGCCGAACCACCAUUAAACUUGGUGGCCGGCCAUGCGCAGAAGAGAUGCAAUCAGAGGCCAGAGGUAAGUGCUCCCUUUUCUUUAUUCACUUUGUGCAAAAUAUAAGAGAAAAGAAAAGAAAAAAAUAUUCAAAAAGAAAAAACAAGAUCUGAAAACUAAAAGAAAGAAACUGGAAACUCGAAUCACCUUUUUUAUUUUUUUCUAUUGCUUUUUCAAUAUACGUGUAUAUUUUUGGGGAAAGAAGAUCCAUUUUACAGUAUUUUCAUUUGGAUUUUAUAGCCAAAUCUAAUAAAAUAACAAAGAAAUCCAAAAUUAUUUUCCUUUUCCAGCUAUACGAAUAUAAAAUAAAAUAACAAAGAAAUCCAAAAUUAUUUUCCUUUUCCAGCUAUACGAUUUACUGGAUUCGGUUAUUGAUAUUUUCUUCCUUCUCGCAAGUUCUAAUGUCGUACGGAGCAGUGAAGAAGCCGUUGCUGAGGCUGCAGUGCAAGGGUUUCCAGAAACUCCAAAUGUGUUGGGCCAAUCGGGCUUAUUUUAUUUGGGUUAAAUGUAAAUUUGGUAUUUAUGGAUUGUGGACUUUAUUUUAUUUUUAUUUAGUUUAUUUAUAAAUUUAAAGGCCCGGGAAAAAUGGGCCUUCUACAGCUGCCCCUCUUUGCUCAUUGUCGUGUAACGGGAAUGGAGCAAAGACUUUAAAAGGAUCAAUUUUGCUCGGUCUUGCUGAAUCUUGACUUCUUGGGUGCUCCUCUUCUUCAAGUAAUCUCAUUGUAACUUUAAGAAAAUAGGAUUAGUGGUUUAAAUCUGCUCCAUUGCCGAUACAUGAAGAUAAGAUUUGCCAUCCUUGAUUUGCUCUACAACUGCUUAGGGAGAUAAAAUCUUCAAUCUUUAGUUUGCUUCCUUGCUACCUCAGGAAGAUAGGACUACAAUCGCCAACCUUCUCUCUUGCUACCUCAGAGAGAUAAGGCUGGUGGCUUAAAUCUGCUCCAUUGCCGAUACAUGGAGAUAAGAUUCACCAUCCUUGGUCUGUUCCAUUGUAAUUUCAGGGAAAUAAGACCUGCAAUCUUCAGUCUGCUUCAAUCUUCAACCUGCUCUCUUGCUACCUCAGAGAGAUAAGGCUAGUGGUAAAAUCUGCUCCAUUGCUGAUACAUGGAGAUAAGAUCUACCUUCUUCGAUCUGCUCUGCUGCAACUUCAGGGAAAUGAAUCUUGGGCUUAAAUCUACUCCAUUGCCAUUACAUGGACAUAAGAUUAACUCUUUCGAUCUGCUCUGCUACUGUUUAGGGAGAUAAGAUCUUCAAUUCUCAGUCCGCUUCCUUGCUAACUUAGGAAGAUAAGACUCAAUCUUCAACCUGCUCUCUUGCUACUUCAGAGAGAUAAGGCUGGUGGCUAAAAUCUACUCCAUUACCAAUACAUGGAGAUAAGAUUCACCAUCUUCGAUCUGCUCCACUAUUGCUUAGGGAGAUAAGAUCUUUAAUCUUCAGUCUGCUUCCUUGCUACCUCAGGAAGAUAAUACUACAAUCACCAACCUGCUCUCUUGCUACCUCAGAGAGAUAAGGCCAGUGGUAAAAUCUGUUCCAUUGCCGAUACAUGGAGAUAAGAUCUACCAUCUUUGAUCUGCUCCGCUGCAAUCUCAGGGAGAUAAGACUUGUAUAUUGAGCCUGCCCCACUGCAACAUCAGGGAGAUAAGGCUUGUGGCUUAAAUCUGCUCCAUUGCCGAUACAUGGAGAUAAGAUUUGCCGUCUUUGGUUUGCUCCACUGCAACUUCAGGGAGAUAGGGUUUGUAAUCUUUGAUCUAUUCCACUGCAACUUCAAGGAUAUAAGAUCUGACUUCACCGAUAUUACUACACUAUCCUCUUGGACAUGUCCUGUAGACUCGGUUUCAUGUAUCAUACUUAUGCCAAAUAAUUAGGAUGCUAUGAUCAAAAUGAACCAAAAACUCCCAACUAGAUGUGAUGCUGAUGUCAAAUAAUUAGGAUGCAAUGAUCGAAAUGAAUCAAAUGUUCCUAGCUAGAUGUGAUGCUUAUGUCAAAUAAUUAGGAUGCUAUGAUCAAAAUGAAUCAAAUGCUCCUACUAGAUGUAAUGCUGAUGUCAAAUAAUUAGGAUGCUAUGAUCAGAAUGAAUCAAAUGCUCCUAACUAGAUGUAAUGCUAAUGUCAAAUAAUUAGGAUGCUAUGAUCAAAAUGGAUCAAAUACUCCUAACAAGAUGUGUUAUGAAUGAUAUAUGAAUGCAAAAAUGAGAAUGAUCUCUUUAAAUGAUCUUCUUUUUUCUUUUUCUUUUUUUUUUAAAAUGCUUAAGGUAUCAUCGCUCGUUGUUCACCAGAGCAUUAUCACUGAUUUAUUAUGCUGCCAUCUUGUUCGGCUGGUAUUAUUGACAGAAAACCCAAAGAAACAAUCACAUUCUGCUCAGCAAGCUUGCCCCGCUGUAAUUUCAAAGUCUCUUACACUGUAGUCUUCUGGGACAUGAAGUUUGUACUUCCCACUGCAACUUCAAGGGAAUAACAUUUGGUUUUUUCUAUCCAUCCUGCUGCCACUCAAAGGUAUAGAAUUUGCAUCAUCUUCAAUUAAUUUGAUCUGUUACACCAUUCCCUGGGUGUAAUGAAUAGAUGUAUAUGCUUGAUAUCUACAUGAAUACAGAAUACCAUUUUUCUUUUCUCGAGAAUAAUAUUAUUGCUCAUUCUUUGCCGGGAUUAUAACACCGAUGUAAUUCCUUUUGGUUCAACCAAUAUUUUGACAGAAAUUCCAAAGAUAAUCUUAAUUUGGGCUUAAAUAUUUCCAGCCCUUAAGCUUGGUGAGUUUUAAAAAAUAGUCCUGUUUCGGGCUCCUGUAUUAUUUAGAAACUUCCCAAAGUAAUAUGCGAAUCUUCCUUUAUAAAAGUGUUAUUAGUCCAAAAAUCGUUAUUUCAAUGAAAAAUGCUUGAAAAAGAUCAUAACCAUGGACAAGAAAGGAAUUAAUUGAGAACAUAGCUCGAAACAAAUAAGAAAAUGCAACUAAGAAAAAAAUUUAUUGGGUCAUGACCUGAAAAGAAUAAAGUAAUCAAAGAUAACCAAAAAAAUGGGUAGAAUGUAACGCACCAAUUUUCAGGAUUUCUGUAAUUUUCAAUGAAUUUUAGAAAUACUGUGUUUUGACUGUCUGGUGUGGGUUUGAGUAUGUUGGUGGGCCUUUAAAAGGCCCAAGAGUGAAUUUAAUUCGAGGCAAUUCCUAAAUUUAAAUUUUGAAGAGAGAGGGUUCUGGCAAUAUGGGCUUUUAAAAUUGAGAUGGUAAAAUAGGACACAAAAAGAUCUGUGGUAAAGUGGCAUGUGGCGCCACCUAGGUGUUUGGGGAGUGACGUGUGGAUGAUUAGGGGGAGCCAGAGUUCAAGUCACAAGGUAAGCGUGUUGUUACUUUUAUUUUUGUGUGCAUGUGCUGGGCAUGUGAUAGAGCUUAAGUGGAAAUUCGGCUAGGGCUUUAAGAAGUUUGGGCCGUGGGUUUGAAUGGCCAUUAGGGCAAGCUUUAUUUUCUUUUUGUUUUGCCUAAUUAGGGUUAUCCACCUAGAGCCUUCACUUUCAUUCUAUUCUCUUCUCAGUGUCGCAAAAAGUCGAAAAACGCAAAGUUAGAUCUCCUGAGUGCCGAAUUCUUCCUUCUCUUCUCCUCUCUUCUUCUAUUUUCUUUUUCUCCUUCUUUUCUUCUCUGGCCAAAACAUUCCUACCAUUCUACUCAUCUCCUCUUUCAUUCCCAUCCUUUUCUAAACCUCUAUAGCCGAUUGCCAUAAAAGCCGAAAUCCAGAAAGUUUUUUCUUGUGCUGAUUUCCUCUAGUCAAAAUCCUCCUAUUUUCUUCUUCUCUUUUGGUUAAUUUUCACAUCCUUUAAACCUCAAACCCUGUCGGUAAUACCACUGCAAAAACCACCAUUCCAAAUUAUCUUCCUCUUCACAGUUUCAAAAGCCGGAAACACCAUAGUUUUAGGGACGUAUAGUCAAAUCUUUAGAUCUCUAAGAUUCGAUUUCUGCUAGUGUUUAAGGGCUGGAUCUAAAUCAGAUCUGAGUAGAAACUAAAGUGGAAUCGUUUUGGUUGAAAUAACCUGAGGUAGAUAUUCAAAUCUAUUUAUUUCGGGUUUUAGAAAACCCCAAAUCCCUAAAGGCAUAGGGAGGCUGUCGAUUGGAGCUUAAGGCUCUAAGGGUUGUAACAAUUGAUUUGUUUUGGUGUUAGUGUGAUCCAGAGGCUGUUGAUCGAAGGCUUGGACAAGUGGAACGACUAGAUCUAGAUCUAGUCUAUAAUUUUGGCAAAGGUAGGAUCUCAAGGGCCAUAGGUAUUGAUGGCCGAUUACGGUAAGUAAGUUUAUGAUGGUUGCCAUUUUAUUUUGGAUCUGAUAUGUCUAGUGACGAUUGUAGGAUAUCGUGGGAGAUUUCGGUAGCAGUUGUCGUAAAUCAGGUGUGUAAACGACACCCACUCAUAGACUAGAUCGACAAAAGCCGAAAUGCAAAAAAGCCGGUAUUUUGUGAACCUGCGAGCGUGCGAGUGCUCAUGAGAUGGUUUGGUUGUUAAUUUUGGUAACCACAAGUGGUAUGAUUGCAGAGUGCACAAUUUCGUGCACUUCGGUAUAUUUGGGCUUAAUGGGCCGAAAUCGGGUUAAUGGGCCAAUGGGCCUAAUUUGGUAAAAAUGCUUGGUAAGUGUUUCUGUUAAUGUGUUAAUGGCUGUAAUAUGAGUGUAAACCCUAAAAUAGUUAAAUUUACUAAAAUACCCCUAAGUAUGAAAAUUACUAUUAUACCCCUAGGUGCAAAAUUACCAUUAUACUCCUAGGGUUAAUUUUGACUGAAAUGCAUGAUAUUCUGAUUCUGUUUGUUGUAUGCCAUGACAUGUAUAUCUGUUGGAUGGGAUAUGGGUUAUAUUGAUAGAGGAAGCGUUCUGGUGGCUCUACCACAAAUAUCUGUUUCUGGUGGCUCUGCCACAAUAUCUGUAUCUGGUGACUCUGUCACAAUAUCUGUUCUGGAAGCCAUGCUGUAAAUUUUGUGACGUGUAGCGGAUGGGUGGGUCGAGUAGUCUCCCUACAUGGUGUAAGGUUGGCACGAGGGUGUAUACGGAUGGAUAUAGGCUGGGUUUUCUGCAUACAAGAUAUAUCUGUUCUGUUUCUGUUAUGGGCCUAUGGGCUUCAUUCUGAAUUCUGUAUAGGCUAAGGCCCAACUUUAUUUGUUUCUGUGGUUUGAACUGAUCUGGACUAUGGUUGGGUUAUUUUACACACUGAGUUUUCCAAACUCACCCCUUAAUUUUACCCGUGCAAGUAAGCCCCAACCAUAGUGGACUUGGAGCUGAGAGGGAUUCGGAGUGGCCACAUGUUUUGCAAGCUCAAUUUUCUUCUUAUGACUGGAUUAGUUUUAUUUACUUUAAUUGCUUUGGGUUUUAAGUUGUAAUAAGGCCGCUUUAAUUAUUUUUAAUUGCUUUAGUAUGAUUAUUAGCUUAGGCAUGAUAUGGAUUUAAAUGUUUGAAAUUGAAUAGCUCUAGGGCGCGUUUUUAAAAGAGAUUACCUGAUUUCAAAAUAUCGUGAAACAAGACAAAGCUUCCGAAAUGAAAACGUUUUCAAAAAAUUAAUAAGUGUUUUCAAAGGCUUAAAAUGAAAUGGUUUUUCCUGAACAAUCAUUCAGUUAAAGUGUGGCAAUGGUUGUGUGCAUUUCUAGGAGUGGAUCCGUGGAGAGCUUGGUACUUAAGCAGUCUAAUAGACUUACAUCCUCUUUUUUCCGGUAUCCUACCUGGUGCACAGCUUCCAUUCACUUUAAUCUAUAACGAAAAUGCCCUUAAAUCACUAAGAAAGAUUUUAGAUAAGACAUGACCUAUACAAUAACGCUUCAAUAUGACACACCGGAUUCAGCCGUAACGUCUGGGUCGAGUUUAAGGUGUUACAUAGAAAUGGAAAGCUAGAUGCACCAGAUAUCGCAGCUUGAGCUUCUCUGUACCAACUUCUUGAGGACUAUUCUGAGCUCAAUCUGUGUUUAGGGGAUCCGGAGUACUUUGUCGAUGCCCAAAGACGUAAUCAUACUUCUUUCAUUGUUAAUUUAGACAUAGCAAGACUACUGUAUGCCCCAUUUUGAUCCAAAUUUGAGCCGCCAUUUUCGGGUUUUCAACUCAAAUCCCCUUUGGUCUCAAAGCGCCCUUUGCGGGUUUUCGCCUUGGCCUCUCCUUUUCUUUCUUCUUUUUAUUUUUUUAAUUUUCUUUUUUUAAUUCUUUUUUUUAUUUUUUUUGGAUUUUUUUAAGGUCUCAAGGCGCCCUUUGCGGGUUUUCACCUUGGCCUCUCCCAUUUUAGGUAGAAUACUCUUUGACUGUAUUUUGAAUUCCCUGAACUGGGCAAAUCCUUUCGGUCAAUAUCAAUGCUCCUCCAAAACAGGCCUUCUUUACAUAAGGUCUCUCUUAGUUUGGCAUAUUUCUUCCUUUGAAGUACUUUUGUAUAGGAAGGAUCUUCUUCAAUAUUAAGCUCCCCUCAUGGAAUUUUCGAGGAUGAACCUUUCUGUCACAAGCCUGCAUCAUCUGACUGUGACGGAUAUCCUUUAAAUUUGACUAAUCAUAUCAGGAUUGAACCCAUUCUGAUUCAUCUAACUUUAGUUCUGCCAAGACUCGAAGAAAAGGAAUCUCGUUUUCAAAAUCUGUUUCAGUCCUAUAAACCAAUGUGUUGCCCUGGUGAAGGUCUCAGCCCACAUUCGAUAAACAUAGAGAGUAAAUGAUAACUUCAUUAUGCCAAUCCUUACAAGACUCAGUCAGUUUUUACUAUGACUUUUGUUCUAUUGUUUGCUUUUCCUUUUUUUUUUCUAUUUUUGUACUUUUUUUUUCCUUUUUGAAUGCCUUUACUGCACGGUAAUAUGGUGUCUGAUCUUUGAACAGACUGUAAACUUUUGACAUUGUGCAGUUGUAUUAGAAAUGAUCCUUUCUGACAUUACUUGUCAGCAACCCUUUUUUUUUUAGAUUUGAUGACUAUCGAUCUUGUAAUGUUGGCAUAUGAGGCGACCUUCACCCUCUUCAUGAAGUAAUCAAUGACUACCAAGAUAAAUCAAUGUAUAUUAGACGAGAAUGGCUUGAUAACAUUCAUGCCCUACAUAGAGAAAGUCUGUGAAGAAAUGAAUGAGGCUUGUCUCCCUAAAUACAGCUUAACUAAUGCAAUCCCCUCCCAUGGUGGACCACAAUACCCAAACCUUGUAAUUAGCGUAGCUACCACAAAACCAUUAACAUGUUUUCUUCUGGCACCGUAUAGACAUUUUGUAUCAUCUACAGAUCUUAAUAUCUCAGGUAUAUCUCGACAUGAUCAUGCGAGAACAUCUUUGAAUCCUUGGAAUAACUCAAUAACGAUUCGCUUUGUCUUUGUGGUGACUCAAGCUUCGAUCUUUGCCUCUUGCUCACAAUGUUCAUUGACCCUUCGUAAAGUAGGAUAUGUUUUUCAUCUUGUUCUAUCGUCCUUAACAAAUCAGGAAAUAAGUCACAAUCUCUGUCAUAUUCAAAGUUCUGAGAUCCGCUUAAACACAUAUCUCACCCCAAAAGGGAGCCAGUUACAGCGUUGCUCAUGUCGUUGAUAUCUGGGGACCUAUUGUAGGUACAAAAGCAAAUUUCAAAGAAUAAAUGAUUCUAAGGAUAAUUGUUUGUAUGGUAUGAUCAUGAAUGAAGAAUGAAAGCAUAUUUAAAAAGAAAAUAGUCCAAAGAACAAAAGAAUAUAUAAAGAAUGAAAGAAUAUUUAUUCAAAAAGAAUGUAUUUUAUUGAAAUAAAAAUUUUUGGACACAAGCCUAUUUCACAAAAGGAUUCUUAUUGCCCCUAGGCUUAAGGCAACAAGCGUGUUUUGAAUAUUACUCUGGACUAGCUCUAAAAAUACAGGGAUCUCUUUCAUAGUCUCAUUGUUUAAAACACCCCCAAGUACAUAAGGGUUUCGAAAUUUUUAUUUCCUGGACCUCUCUUUGGAUAUGUCAUUCAAAUUCUCUUUGAUAACUAGUGGUUACAACCCUUGACUGGCCUAUGUUGACCAAUUUGGAAGGCAUGCUCAUGAUGUUCACUUCAUUUUUCUCAUUUUCCGGGGUUAACCUUUUGGCGCUUUCUUCCAUAUUUAUCUUCCCAUUUCUUAUCACAUCUUCAAUCAUCUCACCGAAUAUCACUAUAUCUGAAAAGCUCAGAGUAGCACUUCCCAACAUAUAGUCAAUGAACGAGGCUUCCAGAGUAUUGAUAAAAAGUAUCGUGGUCUCCUUUUCCAGAAGAGGCGGUUGGACUUGUGUUGCUACCUCUCUCCAUAUUUGGGCAUAUUGUCUAAAGCUCUCAUUUUGCUUCUUUUCCAUAUUCUGCAAGGUAAUUCUGUCGGGUGCCAUGUCCGUUACAUGGCUAUACUGCUUCAUAAAAGCUUGUGCUGAGUCCUUCCAUGAAUUGAUUUUAGCACGACUCAACUGAUUAUACCAUUUAGCUACUGACCCGAUCAGACUGUAUUAGAAGCAGUGGAUUAAUAAUUGGUCGUUGUUAACAUACCCUGUCAUCCUUCAACAGAAUAUUGUGAUGUGAGCUUCAGGACAACUAGUCCCAUUGUACUUUUCAAUCUCCGGGGUCUUAAAUUUUUGGUGGGAGUACUAGAUCAGGGACCAAACUCAAAUACUUGGCUUCAAUCCCGCAGUAGAAGUCAACACUCUCCAUUGCCUUCAAUUUUUCCUCCAACCACCUAUACCGAUCCUUGAGUUGUCUUGGCAAUUCCCUCUUUGCUUUUUCCAUUUCAUCCAGAUCAGGAACUUCAAGAUUGGUUGGAUUGCCCCCCAAAUUGGAACCUGAGCCUAUCGGGUAAUCCACUGGUGUCGAAGUACUGGUCUGAUAUUGCUGAGUUUUAAUAAUAGGUACACCUUACGAACAUGUCUAAGCAUUUUUCGGGGUGAAACCCGAAAGGUAGAGAGGCUCCUCAUUGUCCUUCCCAGUAUUGAGCAUGGAACUUUUCCUUUCUUCAAGUCCCUUUGUCAGUAAUUGAGACAACUGGUUCAACAUAUUCCUUUGAGAAUCUAGCACCAGAUCUCUCAUAUCCUGCCUAAUCUUUGCUAGUUGCUCUUGCAUCUGUAUUUGUAACUGGUCUUGCAUCAUUCUUUGGAGUUGUUCAAGUUUUUCCAAUCUUUCGUCCAUAUCUUUUGUCUUAGCACGGGUACCGUAACAACGCUUGGUUGGUAAGUUUUUAUGGUUCCCAGAUUAACUGAAAUGAUUUCAACUAAUUAGGGACCCCUUUAUGAAAAUUUAAUGCAAAUGAUGAAAUGAUGCAAUGCAAUGCAAAUAGAUGGGAUGAAUGCAAAAGAAAGAAAUGUGUUAAUUUUGAUUUUAAUUCCAUUAGAACAAAUUUUCUAGAAAAAAAUUUCCUUUACAUAAAAUGGAUUGCAUAUAUGGCGUUGCUUUCAUAUUCUAGGCGAAGACACUGAUCCAUUUUCUUCAUGAAAUCCAAAUCUCGCAAGCCUCUAAUAAAUGCCUCCACUAGCUUUUCUUUGCUUGAUCCAGGCCACGACUCAUUAUCCUCAUGACGUUGAUUAGCUCCGUUAAGAAAAUCGAGAUACGACAGCUCUCGAACAAUCUUUAUUGGCCUGAAUCUUCAAGCAAAGACUUGUUUUUCUCCACGAACUGUUAGCCUUCUUCCGUCAAUUUAGACAACCGUAUUAUUAUCCACUUUAUCAGGAAAUUCGUUUUCUUAUGACAAAUUGUUCUAUUUGGCAAUCAAAUACGAAUCAACACCUCCUUUCUAUGAUGGUGUAAUGCAAUGCAAUUAUAAACAAAACAAAAACAAAACACGUUACAAGUGAGAUAAAUAUCAAAUAAAGUACCUAUUCAGGUGACCACUAAAUUUGGGCAAGGUUCUACUUAAGGUGGAUUCUCAAGGUUCACUAUAUGUAGCUCGGUUCUAGAAAAAGGGUACCUGAACCAGCAAAUUCCUCAAUUCUCACCCAUUAUAGGCUCAUAUGAAUCGAGUUCGGUUCAUGGGAAUACAUUUCCCUAUGAUCAUGUGGAGAUGAAAAUCUCACGAAAUCAUAGGUACGAAUGUAUCCCAACAGCAAUCCACUAGCCCAUACGGAGGUGAAAACCUCACGAAAGCAUAGUUUCUUACUCCUACUUAACAGGUAUAACCACAGCGGUCAUGCAAUGCAAUACCAUAUUAUUCUACAAGACUCGAACCACAACAAUCAUGCAAACAAAUGCAAUUAAAAGAAUUAUGAUUUUCAAAAUAAAUUUUCAGUUCUUUGACAAAAGGAUACCAAAUAAUCAAUUUUAUGGCCUGACUCUCUUUGUUCAAUCCCUAGUGGAGUCGCCAAGCUGUCGAAACUAUUUUUUUAUUUUUGGAAAAAAAAUGGGAAUCGACUUUAAAACGAGUGGAGUCGCUAUUGAUCCUUUUGUUUAUGUGUGAUUGGAUCACCUAAUAAAACAUUUCAUUUAAAUCCAUUUUGGCCUAUGUAAAUUUAUAAAAAGAUGAGUUCGGGAGACGGUUACGUAUGAGGAAGGAUUAGCACCCUUACUACGCCCAAAAUUGGUACCAAAUUGAUUAAAUACUGUUCUUAUGAUGUAUAUAAAUCUAAUAUAUGUACCAAUAUAUAUAUGUAAUAAAAAAUUAAAUAGUACAUUAGAUAUGUAGGAUUUUCUUUUAAAUAACAAAGAUAUAUAUAAAAUAUGUGAAUAGAUUUAAAAGAAAUUAUAUGUAUAAAAUAACACAAAAUUAAUAAUGUAUAUAGAAUAAAAUUAAUUUUAUCAUGAAGCAUAUAUAUAUAUAAUAAUAUAUAAGAACAUUUAUACAAAAUAUUAUAUAGAAUAUUGAAAUAAUAUGAUAUAAGCAAACUUUACAAUAAUAAAUUUAAAAAACAAAGUGAAAUUAUUAAAGUAGCUAGAAAUAUAAAAAUAAAUAAUCAAGAAUUAAAAAUGUAUGUUAAGUAGAUUUUUAAAAUAAUAAUGAAUUAUACAAAAUAAAAAACUCAAUCAAAAUAGUAUAUACUUACAAAUAUAUAAAAAGAUUUAAACUAAAUAUUAUACAAAAUGUCAAAAUAAUAUGAUAUAUAAAAAAAAGAACUUCAAAAUAAUUACACAAAUAAAAACAAAGCAAAAUUAUUAAAAAGCUCAACACAUGUAUAAAAAUAUUAAAUGAAUUUUAAAAUAAUGAAUUAUACAAAUAGAAAACUCAAUUAAAACAGAAUUGAAAUAGAAGGGAUAAUUUACAAAUAAAAAAACUAUUGAAAUAAAAAUAAUGACUAAAGCGCAAUAUACACGAAUAUCCAGGGAUCAAAACUGAAAAUAUUCCAGGUCCUGAAACACUGUGUUUAGAUGCGGACUGAAUUGCAAAGACACGUAAAUUCUAGGAAAAAUUUGAAAUAAAAUAAAAUGUAAAUAUAGAUCAAUUAAAAGCCUGCGCAAAUGCGAAGGAUCAGUCGCGCAAUUUGACCAUUCGAAGUGCAAAAGUGUGGAUCCAUACAGCACCGUUUCACUUUGCACUCAAAAUUAAAGGGAAAAAAAAAGAAUGGCAAUCUGCCAUUUUCGCAAACAGCAACUCAAAUCCCUAAUGUUAGGGCUUCAAUUUGGGGACAUCGCCGAACCACCAUUAAACUUGGUGGCCGACCAUGCGCAGAAGAGACGCAAUCAGAGGCCAGAGGUAAGUACUCCCUUUUUCUUUAUUCACUUCGUCCAAAAUAUAAGAGAAAAGAAAAGAAAAAAUAUUCAAAAAGAAAAAAAAAAGAUCUGAAAACUAAAAGAAAGAAACUAGAAACUCGAAUCACCUUUUUGAUUUUUUUCUAUUGCUUUUUCAAUAUGCGUUUAUAUUUUUGGGGAAAGAAGAUCCAUUUUACAGUAUUUUCAUUUGGCUUUUAUAGCCAAAUCUAAUAAAAUAACAAAAAAAUCCAAAAGUAUUUUCCUUUUCCAACUAUACAAUUUACUGGAUUCGGUUAUUGCUAUUUUCUUCCUUCUCGCAGGUUCUAAUGUCGUACAAAGCAGUGAAGAAGCCGUUGCUGAGGCUGCAGUGCAAGGGUUUCCAAAAAUUCCAAAUAUGUUCGGCCAAUCGGGCUUAUUUUAUUUGGGUUAAAUGUAAAUUUGGUAUUUAUGUACUGUGGACUUUAUUUUAUUUUUAUUUAGUUUAUUUAUAAAUUUAAAGGCCCGGGCAAAAUGAGCCUUCUACAGAGAGGUUGGAUAGAGGGGUCACAAAUGAAAAAUGGAUAACCUUAUUUCUAAUGGGUAGUAUUCAACAUCAUCCUUAUUCAACAUCAGAUCACUGCCCCCUCCUCUUUAAUACAAAAAGUGAUAUUAUUGCCAAAAGAAGUCAAAGAUUUCAUUUUGAGGCUUGGUAGACCAUAGAGGAGACGAUCGAACAAGUAAUCAAGGAAUCCUGGGAGUCUAGUUCAGGACUGUUAAUUGAGAAGCUAGAAAGACUACAAUUUCAAUUGGAAAAAUGGGCAAGCAGUAUCAGAAGGAAAAUGGAGAGUCUAAAACGGAACUUAACUAAGGAGCUUGAAAGUCUGUUGGAGAAGGAAAGGGAUGAUGAAACACUGGCACGAAUUAUUGACACGAAAAUUCACCUCAAUAUGGAGAUUGAUAAAGACGAAUUGUAUUAGGAGCAAAGAGCCAAAGCAAAUUGGCUCCAAUUUGGGGAUAAGAAUUCGGCCUAGUUUCACAAGUGUGCUUCAGCUCGCAGGAGAGAAAACAUAAUUUCUAAGCUGGUAUUGGAUGACGAGAGGGAAAUUACGGAUGAGUCAAAGAUAAAUGAGAAUGCCACUUGGUUUUUUCAGGAGCUCUUCACAACAAAGGCAAUUGGAGAUUCAAGUCAUUUGUUAACAUGCAUUGUAGGUAGCAUCUCUCAAGAGGCAAAUGAAGUUUUAUUAUCUCCCUUCAGGGAAGAAGAGAUUUGGAUAGCAUUAAAAGGGAUGGGACCCACCAAAGCACUUGGACCGGAUAGGUUUCCAACAAUGUUUUUUCAGAGGUACUGGCGUAUAGUAGGGAAAGAAGUCAUUGAUUAUUGCUUGGGGAUUUUGAAUAACAACGAGAAGGUUGCCUCAUUUAAUAAUAUAGACAUUGUGCUUAUCCUAAAACUUCCAAGGCCCACUAAACUUGUGAAUUUCAGGUCUAUUAGUCUGUGCACAAUCAUGUACAAAAUUGUGGCAAAAACUAUAGCAAACCGCUUGCAAUAGGUCAUUGGCAGAUGUGUCGACAAGGUACAAAAUGUUUUUUCCCAAUGCGACUUAUUUCAGACAAUGUGAUUUUAGCUUAUAAAAUUCUACACACAUUCCGUCAAGAGCGUACAGGGAAAAAAUGACUUAUGGCAGUGAAGCUUGACAUGAGUAAGACAUAUGAUAAAGUUGAGUGGGAUUUUAUAAAAGAAGUGAUGUUAAAAAUAGAGUCUGCAAGCAAAUGGGUGGGGCUCAUAAUGAGGUGCAUUUCAACAACUUAUGUGGUUAAUAUCAAUGGAAUUAAAGGUAAACUUUUUCAACCUACUAGGUGACUCUGACAAGGUGACCCAUUGAGUCCGUUUCUUUUUCCUACAUGCAGUGAGGGUCUUUCAUCGUUAUUGAGAAUUGAAAAGAAUGAGGGUCUGUUGAAGGGCGUAAAAGGGAGUAGGAGAGGGCCAGAGAUAACUCAUUUAUUAUUUGCAGACGAUUGCAUGAUGUUUGGUGAAGCAACAGAAAGGGGGUAAUGGUUUUGAAAGACAUACUCAAUGAAUAUGAAAGUUGUUCGGGUCAAUGUGUGAACUUCAGUAAAUCAACGAUUUUUUUAUAGCUCGAAUACUACAGAAGAUAAAAAAGAAGUGUCUUCAUUGCUAGGAGUAAAGAUCUCAACAAAUCCCGAAAAGUAUCUAGGACUUCCUAAUGUGGUGGGCAGAAGGUUGGAGUACGAGAUUGCUGUCUCAAGGGGGAAAGAAGGUAUUUAUUAAAUCAGUAUUACGGCUAUACCAACCUGUGCUAUGUCUUGUUUCCUUUUACCUAACUCUUUAUAUGGGAUGUUUGAAAGCAUUUUUGCUAAGUUUUGGUGGCAAAAAGGGUUUGGGAAUAGAGGAAUUCAUUGGUGUCAGUGGAGAUACUUGUGUCGACCUAAAAAUGAAGGAGGAUUGGGGUUCAGAAAUAUGGCUCAGUUCAAUAGAGCUCUUUUGGCAAAACAAGGAUGGAGACUUCUAGUUAAUCUGAAUUCAUUAAUAGCGCAAGUUUUGAAAGCGAAGUAUUUUCCAGAAAAUAAUUUUCUUAAUUCGUGUUUGGGGAAUCAGAGUUCGUAUGCAUGGCGUAGUAUAUGGGCGGCUAAGGGUUUAUUGGAGAAAGGUCUAAUUUGGAAAGUUGGCACGGGUACGAGUAUUUCAAUUAGAAAUGAUAUAUAGAUUCCAGAUUAUAGGAAUUUAAGAUUAUCGACUGUUAAUAUUGAUUUGCGAUUUGAUACAGUUGCUGAGCUAAUCAAUAAUAAUGAAAGAACUGGAAUAGAGAAUUGAUAGUUAAUACCUUCCCAGAAGAAGUAGCUGAAUUGAUCCUUCGUAUACCCUUGGCGAUGGAACCUCAAACAGACUUUUUGGCUUGGAACAGAGAACUUUCGGGAGAUUUUUCAGUUCGGAGUGCCUACAAACUAUUACAAAGUGGUGAUCCUAGAGCUUACAUUGUACAAAACGUCUAUAGGGAUUUUUACAAAAAAACUCGGGUGCAUAGAUCUACCUACUAAGAUUAAAAUUACAAUCUCCAAAAUCGCUUGGAACUAUCUGCCUACUCGGGCAAACAUGUUAAUUAGGAGACUAGCAAAUAACUCAACAUGCCCUCGAUGUGGUGUGGAAGCAGAAACAAUGGACCACCUAUUAAGAAAAUGUUCUGUGUUAGUGUCAGUGUGGGAAGCAUUAUCUGUCUCUAAUUUUAUACAGUGGACAAACUUAAGAGUUUGAGGAGUGGCUCACCAAAGUCUUUGAUUUUCUCUCUCGAGAUCAGUGCAGAAUCUUUUUUGGUGUGCUUUGGGCCAUUUGGGGAGAUCGUAAAGCUCGAAUACAUGAAAACACAAAUAGAUCAGGUCACGAGACAGCAAAAUAUAUUCAAAGUUUUUUACAUGAACUUGAUGGGGCUGGUAAAAAUACCCAUAAUGAUCCUAAGGUUGAUGUUAAAUGGAAUCACCCACCUGGGUAGGUAGUAAAAAUAAAUUUUAAUGGGGCUUAAGACGAGAGGAACCACCAACCGGCGUCAGGGAUCGUGGUCAGAGACAGCAAAUACCAUUUUCUCAUCUCUUGUACAGAAUUUCAUAGAGGGGUGGCUUCUUCUUUUGUCGCAGAAGCUAUCGCUUGUCGAAGGGCAAACUAGAUUGGUCUCGCAAUGCAACGACCAGAAACCAUUAUAGAAGGUGAUUCGUUAUUGAUAAUAAAGAAAUGCAAGGGUGUAAAGCUAGAUAAAUCGCAAAUAGGGCCUUACAUACAUGAUAUUCACGAGAUGAAGUCCAGAGCCAGAAAGUUAAGAUUUGAAUAUAUCCCAUGAUCAGCGAAUGGUCUAACCCACAUUUUAGCAACAGAAUCGCUUAAGAGGAGAGAAGAGAUGUACAGAAGGCAUGAUGAGAAGUGAGAGUGUACAAGAGCCGGAUUGAAGAAAUGAAAAGAAUGAAGAAAGGGGGAGAGUUUCAAAAUGAAACAGAUCAACAGCCUUAGAGAUAAGAUCCCCUUGGUAACUGAUGUUGCCAUUAAAGAUUGAAUUGACAGAUGAGAUGGAGAGUCAGGCGUCAAACUUUCUAAUUGGGCAAGAGGGCGGUGGCUUUAAUGAUUUCUUUAGUUUUUCUCUUUUAACAAUAAGAACCGUUUUAUUUUUCUUACGGGCCAAUUUGUUUUGGGCCUAAUGUUAUGUUUAGUUUUUUGUAGACUUCAUUUUGAUCUAUAUUGAAGCCCAAUCUGAUUUUGAUUCAAAAAAUAAAUAAUCAACUCAACGUGAAGUGUGAACCAAGAUCCAUACCCCAUAUAUAUAUAUAUGGUGUUAAGAACCUUUUAAAUAAUGGGAAUCAAUUUUUUAAAAUUAAUACAACAUUAAGUAAGUAUAUAACAUAAGCACAAACUUUGAACAAAUUAGCAAGACCAUUUUUUACAGAACCGGAUUAAUUAGAUUAGAAAUCAGUUAUAAUUUAGUUGAACCGUUUCCUCUAUUUUUUAAAUACUUUUAAUAAUUUAUUCAAUUAAUCCAAACAAACCGAUCGAAUCAAAAAUCGAUAGUUUGAUCAGUUCAACCACCCGACUAAUCCUGAAAGCCUUAAACAUGACAUACUAUUAAUAAUUAAUAUACAAAAUGGAAAAUGAAAUAAAUAUGACAUGUGAAAAUAUAUAAAAUUAUUAACGUUUAGAAAAUUCAUUAAAUUUAUAAUGAUAGUAUUUUAAACAUAAAAAAUACAAAAAUUUUAAUUCUUUUUUUUUUCUUUCCCCCACUUCUUACUUCCUAAACUACAAAAGAAAAUAAAAAAAAAACAAGUGCAGGGGACAAAAAUCUAAGCCCAAACUUCUAAAGUGACAUUAUGCAUUUUACUUUUCUAUGUAGUUAUAGAUGUUGAUCAAAAUUAUAUAGUAUUUAUUCUAAAAUUAAAUAAAUUUACUAACUCAUUAAAAUAUUUAAAUAAGCAAAAUUAUAAAAUAAAUAAUUAAGUUAAAAAAAUC
rnacentral:lncRNA from 1 species